CACCGCGGCUGGGGGCUCCGGCGCCGUGGGCCUUCCCGCCACCGGUUGCAGCCGUCUGCGUGUGCUCUGGCCGGUAACCGGGCCGACAGAGAGUCUGGGAAGAUCUUUGUAACUGCCUGGACCAAGAGAACAUGGCAGAAGUGAUGCUGAAUGGCUUCCGGAGCUGAGUCGUGAAAGGUGGUGCAGCUUCCACCCACUGUCUUUCUUGAGCUGCAUCCUUUGGGAGCCGUGAGCUGACAGAACCCCCCCGGAGAAGGGUGCCAUACUGGGGCUUCGCAUGGGCCUCCGAUGGCCCCCCGGGCACUCAGCCGUGGCCGUGGGCAGAUCGGCGGUGGAGAAGUCCACGUGGUUGAGCCACAUGCGCCCCCCACCCCGCUGCCAGGACCAUUUCACGCGGCCCCACGGAGCAAGCACCAGGGCCGUGGGAGGAGGCUGGCAGACAGCAAAGGGUUUUCCACUUCCGCGGUGAGAAGGAACCUUUGCAGAGGACGCUCUCCGAUGGGCACUCAUGUGGCGUGGAUGUCGUCACACUCAGAUCUGAACCUGCUCCGAGAGGUCCUCACCAGGUUCCCCUGCUCCUCCGGGGCUGCGGGCUGACCCUCUGGCCACGCCCUGAAUCUGUGCGCACACUCAGAUCAGGCCCUGCGCAUCCCUCCCACCGGCCGAAACUCCAGGAAGCCUGGACCAGGGAGCCAGGCUGACGCUGUGCACAGGUCAGUUUUCCAGAAUGUAGAGAAGACACCGAAGGAGAAAGGAUCCGAGGGGCAAAGAGACUGUCCCGUCCACCGCACGUGAGCGUGCGUCCAGCUCUGCAUUCUGUCCCAUAUAAUGCGAGCCUAUUCUUGCUCCAAAGCCACGCAUAUCAGCCCUAGGACUCGGCAUGCCUGGCUAGUUGCAGGGCAUGUCCCUUCACUUUCCCUAGAAUCAGCAGGUCAAGUUCCAUUAAAAAAAAACCCAAAAACCCUUAUUGACACUUUGAUUGUCAGGCCAAUAAGUUCUUAA